CUCAGUCAGUCCUUGAAAUGACCACUUUAGGUCCAGCAUUCAAAGUGUAUCUAAAACCACAGCAAUUAAACCCAAGCCAGCACAAGUGUGAACACAGCCAGAGAGAAAAGUUAAUCCCAGCAUCUUGAAUGCAGCAUUACCUAAAGGCUGAUGAUAUAGAAAUAAUUGAAACCUACCGUGGCACUUUCGAUAGGAUGGAUUAACCGCUGAUGAGCUUGUAGGAUUUUUGACACACGUGGCGCUCCAGCCAGCAGCCAUGUCAUGGAUGGAUGCAUUCACUGUGGAAGUGGAACCAAUACAAAGUAUGAGGUGAAAGGAUGCUCUCCACAGCAGCCAUUUUUUUUUUCCCUUUGCAUCUCUAAAAUGGCCUAACUGUAUUUUGGGGAUGGGUUUUUGUACCAACCCUGAGCUCUGCCAAGGAAUGCUGGAGGUCCUGCCAAAGCCUGUUGUGGAGCGCUGGAAGAGAGAGUCUGGGAGAAGAAGGAGCUGAGUGGCUCCGUCGGCCUUCGCCUGGCCCCGGGCACUGCAGUUCUCCCAGAACACAACAGAGCCUUGUCCAGCCCUGAAUGACAAGCAGUUCUAUAUUAAGGGAAACAUGAAAACACAGCUUAUUAGAAGCCACAGGGUUGAUUGAAAGCGU